CCCUUAGAUGUUCUGGGCCGCACGCGCGCUACACUGAUGCAUUCAACGAGCCUAUCCUUGACCGACAGGUCCGGGUAAUCUUUGAAUCUGCAUCGUGACGGGGAUAGAUUAUUGCAAUUAUUAAUCUUCAACGAGGAAUGCCUAGUAGGCGCAAGUCAUCAGCUUGCGUCGAUUACGUCCCUGCCCUUUGUACACACCGCCCGUCGCUCCUACCGGUUGGGUGUGCUGGUGAAAUGUUCGGAUCGGCCGUUUGUCGCGGUUUCCGCGUCAUGUGGCUGAGAAGUUCAUUAAACCCUCCCACCUAGAGGAAGGAGAAGUCGUAACA
rnacentral:rRNA from 1 species